UAGCUUAGGCGCUCCUUCGGAGGUGGGC
rnacentral:sRNA from 1 species